CAGUCGCCGCGGUAAAACGGAGGGUGCAAGCGUUAUCCGGAUUUAUUGGGUUUAAAGGGUCCGUAGGCGGAUCUGUAAGUCAGUGGUGAAAUCUCACAGCUUAACUGUGAAACUGCCAUUGAUACUGCAGGUCUUGAGUAAAUUUGAAGUGGCUGGAAUAAGUAGUGUAGCGGUGAAAUGCAUAGAUAUUACUUAGAACACCAAUUGCGAAGGCAGGUCACUAAGAUUUAACUGACGCUGAUGGACGAAAGCGUGGGGAGCGAACAGGAUUAGAUACCCGAGUAGUCCCUGUCUCUUAUAC
rnacentral:rRNA from 1 species